ACAGGCUCCAGGCUCUGAGCAGUCAGCACAGAGCCCGACUCGAGGCUCGAACCCACGGACAGUGAGAUCGUGACCUGAGCUGAAGUCAGACGCCCAACCGACUGAGCCACCCAGACGCCCCAGGAAGUUGUAAUUUUAGAAUGUCAGAGCUGUAAUGGUGUCCACUCAUUCAUUCAUUUAACCAAUAUUUGUUGAUUACCUGCUAUGUACUGUUUUAGGCAUGGGAAAUAUAUCUGGUUAUGAAAACAGACACAAAUCCCUUCUCUUUAUGGAUCUUAUAUUCUAGAGAAGGGAGAUAAAGAUCAAAUACAUAAAUACAAUUAUGCUAGGAGGUGAUAAUUACUAUGAAGGAAAUAAAAUAGGGGAGGGGUUUCAACUUAAACAGGGACAUCACCAAAAGGUGUCAGGUUGGGGACAUGGGGACCGUAAGAAGGUCAGAGUGGCUGAAGGCUAGAGAAAGGGGAAGAGGGGGAGGAGAUGGUGCCAGAGAGGUGGGGUGGGGGCAGUCUGACCCUGGGGGGAGGUAGGAAGCCAUGGAGUUUGCUAAUACAGGAUGGCAUGAUCUAACUUACGCUGGUCGCUUGGGCCCUUUCAUUCUAGUGAUAAGGAAAAGGCUUUAUGCUUUGCACAGCUUAUUUCUGACAGAUCCAAGAAAAGAAUCCAGGUUUUCCAGUUUCCAGUCUUUGCAUCUCUCACUAAGGUCUGCUGCUUUUAACCUUGAUAUCCCAGCAUUUAACAUUUUUCCAGAGCAUUUUCAUAAACAUUGUUUUGUUCGAUCAGAAACCUGCUGCCUCUCAAUGUCAGAUUACAGAAGGAUAAAGCAAACUACAGAGAUUAUGGGAUUUUCUGAAAGUCCCACAGAGUUGAGCUGGAACCCAUGACUUCUGAUGCCCAGGCCACUGCUUUGGGAGUUGCAGACUCUCCUUUCCAAAAUGAAGGCCUUGUAUUCUCCUCCCUGAGGCUCCUAUGUGGCAGCUUACCUCCUUCACUAGUCAACAGAAGUCUGGGUACCUUGAAGCCACCACGCUGGAGGGACAAUGUGGAGAGAUGACAUAGAGAGGAAGGAAUGCCUGAGGAGCCCCAGCUGUUGUAGCCUUCCCAGCCCAGAUGCCGGAUAUAGAAGGGAGCCUUCAAGAAGACCCCUGCUCCAGCCAACUUCUGACUGCAACCUCAUGGAAGAUCCCAAUCAAGAACUAUCAGCCACUCCAGAACUAUGAGAGAUAAUCAUAUUAAAUGACUAUUGUUUCAUAACACAGUUUGGAUGGUUUGUUAGAGAAACACAGGUAUCUGAAAUAGAAGGGGUGAUCAAAAAGAGUGGUUCUGCUGAUUACAUUCAUAUUCCCUUUGACAGCCAAAUUCCUGCUCAUGCCCUUUUAGUACCAUUUAAUUCCUGAAAUUUGGAAUUCCUCCAGUUCUAGCAAGAUGCCACAGACUUCCCCCCGCCCCUCCCCCCACCACCCCACAGUACCAGUAAUAGCCCACUUGUAUCGCUUUAUGCAGUGCCUCAAAGAAAACAUCUAAAACAAUUUAGAAAUAAUUCUAGGGGCAAUAGGAUGAAAUUUGGAGCUCAGCAUGGUCAAUCAGAAAAAAGAAAAAAAAAAAGAGAAGGGGGCAGGGCGGGGGGAGAAAACAAGACAAAGUAGGCUUUCAAAGAAAAUUGAGGAUCUGGAGAGCCUUCAACUAUUUUGAUUUAUAUUUAAACAUUUCUUGAGAUUGAAGUCUUGAUUAGCCCGGUCCUCUCAAGUUCUGCCUUAGCCCUGAUUUAUGGGAAAGCCAGGCCUGAGCAAAAUGAAAGCAAAAUGAGGUAUUCUUUAAAAUUACCUUGGAGCACUUGAAGGAGGGCACAAGUGCUAACGUUAGAUUAAAAGGGAAGUGAUGAGAUGAGUUUCUGAAACCCAAGAUCUGUAGAUGCCUGGCAGUGUAGGGAGGGGAGCCUAUGAAAGAUGGGCUACAAUCUCUGCAUGUGAGACCCCUGCAGGAUGCUUUGUUUGGUUUGGCUCGCCACAGACUGAGCUCUCCAUCAAAGGGUGGAUCUGAGAGCCCAGGCUGGCAUUUUGAUUCAGUGACUCUUCCAUCACCAGCUGGAAGCGAGAAGCUUCUAAUAUGGAGAGAAUGGUAGGGGUAUGGAGGGAGGGGACUGGCUCACAGUGGGUUGUGACAGUAGAAUCCUAGCUUACCAUGGCUCAGGGGCUGAAUCACUGUUAGACCAGGAGACGUGAGCCCCUGAUCCAUCUCUCUACUCUUGACUGUCUUCCAGCCAUACUUUCCACAUGGGCAGGAAAGCCAUGCGAAUAAGAAGAUGUGCUCACCUGGAGUGUGUCCUCUUCUAGAUUUUACCAUUAGUUCCUGGGAUCUGUAAUUCCCUGACAUAAUGGCUCCAAGCUCACUUCUAGGGGCUGCAUGAACCUCCUCCUUGGUCCAUUCUUCUGAGGACAGACUAUAUCCCAAGACUUGAGGGGUGGCUAGGUGGUAGCUAUUUACGGGAGCCUGUGGAGGCACUUGGACACAUUGUCUGGGAUGUUCACAUGCAUGAGCAUAAGGCCUUUACUAUGUGGGUGGAGCCAAGGGUGAAAAAAGAGAAGAGAGGUAUAUGGCAGAGGCUGGAACCUACACAUCCCCAGGCCUGCAGGUUUGGUACAGAAAACUGAGAAUUCUGAGAAUUUUAAAUUGAAACUUGGCUUUCUAGGUUGAUAUAAAAGUACAUCUAUCAAUAGAGGAGGAGGGAACAUACUGUAUUUGACAGUUGUUAUCUUUAUUUAUAACUCUUACAUAUGUAGCCAUAUGGCACAUGUGGGCCUCCAUAUGUACUCUUGCCCUGGUCCUACAAAUAUUAGGAGAGGUCUGUGCAAAGGACAGAGGCAGAGUGUGCUGUUGGUCUGCUGUGUCAGCUGCAGGGAACUCAGACUUUCUCCAGCCUUAUCCCUGAUGGUUGGAUGGUAUUGUUUUCAACUUUGACUUCUCUCACAAACCCCUCCCCUGCACCCCAGCUCAAGAGUCAACAAUGAUUGUUCUCAUCUACAGGAAGAGUCCUGAAGGCUUACGGAACAUUCUGGGCCCAAUCUACUGUCCUAACCCUACUUCCCAUCACUCUUCUUCCCCUCCAUGAACCUUCUAUGUGGUAGUAUAAACCUAUUCCCUACUCCCUACUCCCCUCUGCCUGCCUCUCUCUCUCUCUCUCUCUCUCUCUCUCUCUCUCUCUCUCACACACACACACACACACACACACACAGUUUCCCUCCUCUCAAUUUACUCAUGACAUUUAUUCUGCCUCAAAUGGCUUUCCUCGUCUUCUCCACCUAUCCAAAUUCUACCUAUUUUUAAAGAUCUAGUUCAAUUUGAAUUUCUUACACUGUGUUUAUUUAUUAAUUAAUUUAUUAAAUGGACUAAUCAGUGAAACUCAGUCAUGUACCAUUGCCUGGAUUAUAGUCAUCUGGAAAUUUUUUUCCUACUCUAACUCAUCUUGAUCUUGAUCUUGAUUUUUCCUAAUUUCUACUUCAUAUGACAUCAUUACUACUAAAUUUUAACAAAAUUCCAACACUGCUUUCUUAAAUUUUCUUAUAGAUUUUAUAUCUAAAUUGGAUGACAGAUUUCUUGUGAGCAGGAGUGCUCCGUUGAACUAUUUUCAUAUCCCACUCAUUGGCAGGCAUAGUUUAAUAGUAUAAAGUUGAUAUGCAGCAAAGACCCAUUGACUGAGUGAUAGGCAGAUUGAUGGAGGGACAAACUGAUUUGUUGCCAAACUUCCUUCCUUGCAAAGGAAUUUGCAAAGAGCUCGGGUGGUCUGGCUUAUAUUCUCUCCUUGCCAUUUUUUAUCAUUCUGCUGGAUUAUUUCUAAUGCAUUUUGUAUCUAUCAUGCCUGAAUUUAUUUCAACCCCUUUGAACAUAUUGAUAUUUUGGCUUGAAGUCUUAAUAAGAGUGAUUUCUUUACUACAAAUUUGAGUUUUUAUUUGUAAUUUACACCAAAUUACUCUUAUAGACAAGCAUGUGUUGAAAUAAAUAGGUUAAGUCAUUUAUUAUUUCUUAUUAUUUCCAUAUGAUUUUGGUUUGCUUUUCUAAUAUCUCUUCUCUUAGGCCUGAAGUCUCUGUUUCUAUCUGUUUUCUUUUAGGAAAUAGUUUGUAUUAGAACAGUGGUCCUCAAAGAUGUGGUACCUGGGCCAGUACCAUCAGCACCACCUGGAAACUUGCUAGAAAUGCAAUUAUCAGGACCUGGCCCAGAUCUAUUAUUUGAACAAGACUUCUAGGUGAUUCUGAUGCAUUAGCUAAAGUUUGAGAAUCACUCUAUUAGUUGAAAGAACACUGAGCUGGCAGGGUAGACCCUGAAUAUUGGCUCUGGCUCUAUUAUUAAAAGCUGUAUGACCCAUUCUGAAUGUUAGUUUCCUCAUGCCAAUUCUUCUGUCUGUCUUGGUGUCUUUGGGGACAAAGAUGAACUAUUCUCCUUUUAGGUUUUUUUGUUUGCUUUUGUUUUCAUUUUUUUUACUGGUGACAUGGUGAAAAUAGUAACAAUACUUACUUCACAAAGUUAUUCUGAAGAUGAAAUAGUUUUCUACUUUAUGAAAAAAUAAUAAAAUAAAAUAAUUCACUGCAUACACAUCCUUACAGGAUUUUCUUUCAACUCAUAGAAUUCCCAAGGGAGCCCAAGUUCUCAUUAUUUUACACCGGAUCACAUAGUAAGAAAUCUUGGUUUCUACCAUAUGUAAGUGUUACAGCCCCUUGGGGAAUGAGCACAUACAUGGUUGUGUGUGUAUUUAAAAUGUCUGAAUAAAUGGUACUUAUAAUGAACAAUAAACUCAGAAGAGGAAGCAGCUUCUGAGAGCUAUGGUGGUCACACAGAGAAGGCUGCAUAUCAAAGAUACUUGUUGAGUUGAGACAUAAAAAUAGGCUACAGAGAGAUGGGUGGGUGGGGGAAGGACACUUAUAAUCAGCCCUAGUAGGUAAAUGCCAGGAUUAAAUAUGUAGACUAAAAUGGGGGUGCAGAGGAGGACAGUGAGUUUACCAACUACCAGCAGUUGGGUGUGUACAGAGAGAUAUAGUGGAGGAAAAUUUGAAGGGGAUGUUGAAGCCAGUUGUGGAGGGUCUUGAUGGUAAGCAAAGUGAUCUGGAAACUCAUAUUGAGAAAAAUCAUCACUAGUCAUGAUUUAGAUUCCUCUAGGGUCAGUGGGCUAUUCACCUGGUGAUGUGUUGGGGGCAUCUGAUCACAUGCUUUCAGGAAAGAGGACAGAAGUCUGAGGCCUGAACACUUGAAACCUAUCUUGGGAACUCCAUGGCUGGCUCAAUGGAGCCAGUCUAAAUGUGUAUGUGUUAAUUAACUCCUAAUAUCUUUAAAGACUAGCCCAACCACAGAGUUUAAGACACCCCAGGGGAGAAGAAGCAAGUUCAUCAUAUCAGUGGUUCUCAACCUUGGCUACACAGGAUCACUGGAGAGCUUAAAAAGUCCAUAUCAGGAACUCUGCCCCAGAGAUUUUGAUUUAAUUGGUCUGGGGUGGGGUCUGUGUACUGUUAUAUUUUAAAAGCUCCCCAGGUGAUUCUGAGGUUCAGCUAGUGCUCUGAACCAUGGUCCCUGCAGAGUUCAGAAGAUAUAAUUGUAGGACUCAGAUAAAAUUUGAUCAACCCCAAUGACUUGUAACAUAUUCUCAGUAAGGAAGUGUUUCUGUUGUCUCAGACAUCGGUUGUCUCUGAUUUUUGGUGGCUCUUCAAAUAAUGUGGCAGAUUGCCAUGGUCUUGGCAGGCUGGGGAGUCUGGCAGACACAAGUGAUCUUGGCUGGAGUGUUAAAAAAUAUGAACCCAGAAAAGAAAACAUAAGGUGAGGUGGAGCAGUGGAAAGGACUCUGGGUAGGACAUCUGAAGACUUCUAUACAACACCAGUAAGAAGUCAGGAACUGCAGAUCAAAAGCGCAAUUAUAAAAACAUUGUCCGAUUUCCUAGACUUUAUAACCAUCACAUGUUUAUUUUUUAUACUUCCUUCUGUAGCUCCACAGAAACUACCAGUAAAUCUCUGGAAUUGAAAAAGGAUGGAAGGCUUGUUGUCAGGGCCUGCAAGGAAAACUGGAGGGCUUUGUGGCACAGUGUCUUGGAGGGAAGGAACUCUCAGGCCAGGCCUGGGUAGGGACAGUUUUCAAGAGAAAAGAGAACAUGGCUUCCGGGAGGACAGCCAGAAGUCUCUUGUAACUUCACUGUGUUUAAAAGUACAACUAACCCAUUACCCAGCACACAGCAUUAAUUAAAUACAUAUUUGUCUAAUUGACAUGUGUUCUAGUCCUGGCCUCUACUCCUUCUGGGUUGUGUAUCCUAGAAUAUCUUCUUUAUUCAUCUAGUGUACUUCUUCCAAGUGGGGUAAAUCAUAAUCUAAUUUCCAGUCUUUAGGAAGUGCCCCAAAGGCAUGGGAAAAUGGACUGAUAAAUUUGAAGGAGUCUAGGUUUAGAGGUUAAAGUGACAUGCUUUUGAUGACAUCAUUUUCCCAAGCCUGAAGUUUUAGCUUAGAAAUUUAUAUAUGAUGUGCAUGCAUUCAUUCAUCGAAAUUUUAAACGUUUAUUUAUUUAUUUUGAGAAUGAGAGAGAGAGGCAGAGAGUGAGGGAGAGAGAGAAUCCCAAGCAGGUCCCACACUCAACACAGAGCCUGAUGUGGGGCUUGACCCACUACCAUGAGAUCAUGACCUGAGCCAAAAUCUAGAGUUGGAAACUUAACCAAGUGAGCCACCUGGCACCUCCAUUCAUCAAAAUUUUACUGAGAGUCUAUGAUAAGCAUGGCAUUACCUUAAGAACUUCAGAUUCAGCAAGGAAUCACUAAAAUAAAAAAGACCCUAGUUUCAUGUUGUUUCUCUUCUAGUGGAAGGAAACACAAUAAAUUAUAAUUUAUCUGUUUGUUUAAUAUAAAAACAAGGAAACAUUAUUUACAUGUUCAAAUUCCUUAAAACCCCCUCUACCCUUGCUUCAUCCUGGUGUCAUAUGAGGCUCCAAGAGGAGGUAUAAGGUCUGGGCCCCUGGCCAUGGUGGUAUACUGCCUAAAGCACAUGGUCCCACGUGGGAAAGCUGAGAAAGAAUAUUGUGAGGAUCAAGUAAGAGAUGGAAGUCACUCAGUCGGGAGACUUCAAUAUACUGUGUAAACUUAAAGGAUGAAUACGAUUUUUAUGAUUCCAAGUUACGAAUGCACUCUGUGCCAGAAUAUGGUGGACUCACUCAAGCCUGUGAGCUGUGAAUACUCUAAACUGCUGUCUUACUCUCAUGUGCCCCUCAGGCCACAGUAGUUGGGUACAUGAGGGCAUGGGGUGAUACCAGAGUUGAUGUUGGCCACUCAGUCUGCUUUGGGAGAUGUGAGGAAGAACCUGUGCCACGGUGCUUUGAUAUCUACCAUUUUGGUUAAGUGCCAACCACUAUAAUCCAUGAAGAACUUCAUUUCAGGGUAAGGGUUGGGUGAGGGAUUGGGGAGACUGCAGACUAGGCGUUCAAGAACAUGUACAAUAUCAUGGAGUUUUAGAGCCAAAGCGUAGUCCAGAGUGGUUAAGUGGCAAGUUCAGGAUCACACAGCUAAUAACGGGUAUAGCUGGAAUGAGAAAAGACAGCUGUUUGUCUGUACUUCUUUUCUGUUAAGAAGUGUUGACUGCACCACCAGUCCAUAUCACUCUGUCACCAGCUGGUCCCCCUCAAAGGCACACACUUGCUAUAGGUUGAAAGAUAAAUGUUUCCUGUUUAUCUGGAACAGAUUGAUACAACUCCAGCUCUUCAUUCCUGACAACACUAUACUUUAGCACAGGAAAGAAUGAUGAGAAGAAAUCAAUAAUGUUGCAGUUUGGAACACCAUUGCAGGGCUUUUAGUCAAACUCUCUUGAUUAGGGGUGGAGGUGGGUGGGCUACAAACUGCAGCCUGAAGAAGGAAUGGUACUGGCUCAAGGUCACAUGUCUGGUUAGUUGAUAGCUGGGAAAGGAACUCAGGACUCCUGACUUCCAUGCCAGGGCUCUGUCUCCCACUGUCAUUGAGAACGGAUAUUGGUGUGGACCAGCACUCUUGGCAGACGGAUUAUUUAAUGAGCCAAAUUAUUUUACCAUAAUGGCAUGAACAUUUCAUAGUAAAUCAGGUCCAUUGUCACUACAGCAUCACUAAUUACCCACAUGUAGUCAGCAAGGGUGAACUUUCCUCUUGAAAUCGCUAUUUCAUAGAAUAUUGAUUUCCCAGAUACAUUGUGAGAUGGCUAACAUUGGCUAGGAUGAGAUAUGAAGUCUGGAUAAAUAUACCUUGAUGUGCUUUUUAUAGCCUCUGAUCCCUAAAUCUUGAAUUUUAUUUUGUAAGGAAGAAGCUCAUAGUAGAUUCUAUAGGAAUAAGGAAGUAUAGAAUUGGUAUAUUAAUGAAUCAUUUAGACUAAAGGGGUUCGUUCAAGGUUAAGAGAUGAUUUUUAUUUCAAGUAGGGAGGCAUCUGGGAACAUUUAUAGGCUGUUGAUAAGGAACCAGUGGAGAGGGAGGUACAAACUCAAGAAAGGGCAAGGGUAGAUCACUGAGGGAGUAAAGUUCCUGAACUGGUAGGGUGACUGGAUUUGGACAAGAGCAAGGCACUAUAUUUUCUCAGACUGGAGGUGAAGGAUAAGCGAAGAUGGAAAUCACCAGAAGAUUGAAGGUGUGUGAUGGGAGGCAGUUGGGAUGAAGGGAGGGGGUCAUGAGGGGUGCAACUGAAGCCUAUUGCCCUCUUAGUUAAAGAAAUGUUGGAAGAACAACUUAGGCUGGAAUAGGUACCCAAUGUUCAGGGAGAAGUGAGAGAGUGGGGAUUUCAUCUCACCCUCAUCAACCUAACUUCAAUCCUACUCAGACUUCUGCAGGUGCAAGUGAUCUCAGGCUAUGCCAGCUUACAGUAAAUUCCUCUUCUUUUACAGCAUCCAGGGUUUACCCCCAAAUCCAUAACAUCUAGAAUAUGACUAUCCAUAGUUCUGUAUUAUGAUCAUUUUGUCCAAGACCUACACACCUUGUGUCCCUGUAUCAGUCAGGGUUAGGUUAGGUUGUGCUACAAUAACAGCCUCCCACAUCUCUGAGGAUUAAAACAAUCUAGGUUUAUUUCUUGCGCGUACUAAAUGUCUCACUUGGGGUAUGAGGGUGGGGGUUGGGCUCUGCACAACACUGUCCUGCAGGGACUCAGGCUGACAAUGGAGCUGCCUUCUUGAAGUAGCUGGUCCUCAUGCCAAAUAUAAAAUAAUGUUUUGUGAGGUCUUGCCUCAGCAAUUAGAUGUUCUGGCUUGGAAGUAACGUGACGCUUUUGCUCACAGCCGAUUGGCCAGAACUGUUCUUCUACUACCCCGCACAAGGAGCAGUAAACGUAAUCCUAUUAUGUGCCUUGAAUGGGGAAGGGUGGUAGAUCUUUAGCCAACAGAACUAACACUACUAUACUCCUCCAGUCAGACCACAUGCUCUCUGAAAGGAAGGCCAGCCAUUCUGGGCCUCUUGCUUCUCUAGCAGAGGUGCCGAAUUUGGCAGCCCCAGCACCAGUCACAAGGCAGGGAUGUUCUAGCUGCACCCACCCAGCUCACCAAUUAGCCCAGUCCUGAGGCCACAGGCUACAAAUCUCAUGAAGCAGGCCAGGCAGGGAGGGGGGAGGCAAGACCUGCUGGGGGUAGCAGUGGAAGUGAAGGUCACAAGGAGAUAAGGAGCAAGUAGUAAAAAACAUAAAGGAGUCUGCUCACAAUGACAGGGGCACUGAUGUUGCCAUCUUGGGUGGUUCAGCCCCCACAGUGCUGGGCACGUACAGGAGUGUCUGAAAGAGGGUAGGAGAAUAGCCCAACAGCUAUGCUGGUUUGAUUGCAGUGAGUUGAGUGUAAGAACAUUAGAAAGAGUAGGCUGGGUCAAGCCCUAUGAUAUUGAGGGGCAGGCUGGAAGAGACCAUGGCCACCCUUCUCCACGUCUUCACAGCCUUCUCCUGAACAUCCUCAGGUGGAUCUGUUAUUCAUGAAAUGAUCUGAAUUUGCCUGGUGUUUUUUUUUUUUUUAAAUCUUUUUUUACUGGUCUCCUCUUGAGGUAACUGACCAAUUUGCCUUUGAACCCAACAACUCCCCAGUGAAGUGGUCAGCCAAGGUGGAGGCCCAGAGAGGCAGAAGGCUUACUGCAAGCAGGGAGGCUAACGAUUGGGAGUCCCACCUCUCUCACUUUCCUCCUUGUGCCACAUGGUCACUAGGCUAAACCCAGACAAAGGUUAGUUUCUUCAGAAAUAGAGUGAAAAGAACCUCAGGCUUCUGAAUUAAUGGAUACUCUGACUCCUUCCCAAAUUUUAAGGUGUUCUAGACAUUGAAUAAGAUAAAGAAGCUUCCCUCUGUUCAAGGACAACAGCUGAAAAGAAGCAGACAGAUCUGGACUGUCCAGCCAGCUUGCUCUCUCUCAGCUGGGGUCCCUUUAAGACUCGAGAACUCGGAGGUAGGGAGGUCAGACACAGGCCAGUGGAAGUUUCCACACUCUAUGUGUCUGGGCCAGAGUCUCUGUCUAUCUCUGCUGGGGAAGGGUGGGCCCUGUUCCCACAGGCCUGAGAUUUAUGACUUCAGUCUGGGAGGGGGCGUUGGCCUUUACUUCUCGGCACGAACAAUGGUAAACACUUAUGAAGAACAUUUGGAACUGGUAGCCCUCAGCCUGUGUCAGGCUAACUCUCUAGUCCUCUGUCUUCUUGUGAGUUGUGCGCACCAGCACCUCUCACAAACCUGACCUCUGAGCAAAGCUGGAAGUUUUCUCAGCCUGCACGGCCUUGCAGUUAUCUGUUAGUGGAGAUAGCAUCUCCUGCCCCCAAGAUUCUUCCUUUAAUACACGGAAGUAUUAAGGGGCCAAAGUUGUAUGUGGAGCUUAAAUGGGAGUCAAAGAUCAGUAGCUAACCGGCUGAAGCCUUAAUUAUCAGUGGAGGGACAGUGACAGGGAAGGAAGUCUGGCCAGAUGAGGGAGGCAGUGAUGUGUGCGUGUGUGUGCGCACAUGUGUUGGGGGUGACAGCAUGGAGAGGGCUGACAUCAGCUUCCUAUUUAGAGGAUUUUUAAGUGGUUGCAUGUAGAGGGGUUCUGGUCGGGGUUCUGUGCUUAUGGAAGAAUUAUCCCAUUUUCUUCUGUUGAAGGCAGUAGAUCAUAGAGGUUAAGACACAGUCUCUGAAAUCAGACUAUCUGAGUUGAAAUAUCCUGGUCCUGCUACUUCUACCUGUGUGACUUGGGCAAACUCCUGCACUUCUUCUAAGCCUCAGUCUUCUUGUCUAUAAAAUGGGCAUGGCUAAGAAACUGACAUUGUAGAGUUGAGAUUGCUGAGUGCCUAGCACAGGGCCAGAAAUCCGCAGUUACUAUUACUAUUUUUUGAUAUUCUCCCUGAUUUCCUCACCUGCAGCAAUGCCGAGACCAUUGAGAACUCCUUCUAUGGCAGAAAUGGCCUGUCCCUACUUGCUUCCUCAAGAAAGCAAUGCACAAACCCACGUCUACUCUGCCACUGAAGCAAAAGGCACACCUCCCCCGAGCCCACCUUCCCACCUGACACCCAGUGCCUGUGGCUUUAAGUAGGGAUGAAGCUGGAGUGGAGGAGGCAGGGGUAAAAGGACAAGGCAGCUUUCUUCUCUUCUGAGUCAGGGCUGGGUGGGGGAUGGAUAGUAACAGAGUGAUCCAAGGAGGAGGCAGGUGGCCUUCAGACACAGCGUCCCUCCUGCCGCCCCUCGUGCCUGGAAAGCGCUCUGCCCAUGGAUAGGCCUGUCAGGGUACACUGAUACAGUGCCCCAGAGGAGGCCGGGGCUGUGUGUGGUGCAUGUGGUGACGAGUGGCCUGGGAGUGGCUCAGUAUUCUGCUACCGACUGACUGCAGAACCCGGGACAAGCUGCCUCACCUUUCUGGGCCUCAGUGUCCUCCUCACAUGUCAGACUGAUGUCUGCCGUUAUGCCAGGCCAUCUCUCCUGCAUCCUUCACACAGAUCCCUUAACUCCCUCUCUUUGCACACUCACACAGGCACAUGUGCACACACACACUCAUGCACGCCCAUACAGAGGCACACAUAUGUGCACAGAGUGCACCAUAGGUGCGGGUGCACAUGUGUACACACACAUGUGAACACAAGUGUGUUCCUCCUCAGCCGUCUGACUCACACCCAGUUCAAGUUCCACCUCCGGGCUCCCUGGUCUUCCCAUUCCACCCUGAUCUCCUGCUCUUCUGAACUUUCAUGGUGGCCCGCACGAAGUCUCCUUUCAGUUUCCUUGUCAACUUCGGGGUGUGUGUAGUUCUGCACUAUUUUUUCCUCCACAUGCAUAGUAAGCCCCUGACAGCCCCAGGUUCUAGGUCCUCCCCCCCCAACAACUUCCAUGGUGCACAGAAGUGAAUUUUCUGUGCCACUAAUGAUGUAUAAGCUUCACGGCCUUCCUCAACACCGUGCUUACGCGGUCACAUGUUUGCACACAGUUGGUGAAUGCAAGAUAUUUUAGCUAUGAUCUGUUAACACCUGCGUUUCUCUCACCUCUGAUUUACCCCCUGUCACGCUUCUCUGUUUGGUGGCAUCAGAAUGCCAGUUUGGAAACUAGCUAAGGAGCAGCUGAGUUGGGGGUGUUGGGUUUGCGUUGAGCGGGAUGUAUUUAAUGUGAUACUUAGUCCCUUCUAUAGAAGCAAUUCACUGUUGCUAGCUGUCACCGUGGAGUAAAGGCUUCCAGGGACAGACUGCUGCCCACUGUGCAGAGGUAUUCUGUGUCAUGCCACAAAGAGCCACCCGAAGUUGUGUGGAGACCUGAGUGAAUGUGUCCUACAGUGUCCAGCCCUGGAGGUACAUGGAGAAUGGAAGAAAAACAAGGACUAACGUGUACAGACCCCAGAAUCUAGCUGGUGGGGGAUUCCUCCAAUCAUCAGGCAGGUGAAAUUGUAAGCAGAAGAUUCUAUUCUCAUCACUGCCUAGUCAAAAUGAAAGUUCUCUCUUGUCAGGAAUAUACUCUAUCAUGCAAAGUAAUACAAUUACAAAUGCACUAUUCAUUUUGUUUCUUUUUUGAUGGGAAUUACCGACACAGAAUUUAUCAGAACCCCCAUGUUUAAAUGUCUUGCUGAUUUGACAGGAAAUACUGACACUGACAGAGAUAACAGAAAACUCAUUAUAUGCCACCACAAUGAGGACAUCGAUGACAAUCUGGUUAUAAGUUUCAUAAAUUCAAAGAGUAUUUUAGAUUUGUCACUGUAAAUGAGAAGUUGAAAUGCCCUGAAAUCUCAUAGCUCAUAUAUGAAAGAUACUUGACAGAGGUUUUCCCAAAGUUGAUAACAAUCCUGAAAAUUCACAUGGCAUUACCAGUGACAAAUUGAGAGACUCAAAGAAACCUUUCCAAACCGUGAAUAAUAAAAUACAAAAAUUGGAUCAACUUGUUAGAGGAGAGACUGAAUUAUCUUUGUAUUCUCUCUACAAAAAUGAUAUUGAAAAAUGAUAGUCAUUUAAAGAGAUGAUCAAAGAGUUUGCAGCCAAAAAAAAAAAAAAGUAGGAAGAAGAGUAUUAUGGAUGCGUAUCAGACACUUAUUCUAGAUUAUGUGGUGCCUGUGGAAUUUGUCAGUGUUUUACGGUUUGUAAUUUGUUGUGAUUUCUUUUGUUUUUGUAAAUACAACUUCACUUUCAAACAUAA